GACAGAGGUGCCAAGCGUUAGGCGGAAUCACUGGGCUUAAAGCGUGUGUAGGCGGAUCGUUAAGUGCUUUGUGAAAUCCCACAGCUCAACUGUGGAACUGCUUGGCAUACUGGCGAUCUUGAGCCAUCUAGGGGUUGCUGGAACAAACGGUGGAGCGGUGAAAUGCGUAGAUAUCGUUUGGAACGCCAAUGGUGAAAACAGGCAACUGGGGAUGUGCUGACGCUGGAGACACGAAAGCCAGGGGAGCAAACGGG
rnacentral:rRNA from 1 species